GAAUCUUCCGCAAUGGACGAAAGUCUGACGGAGCAACGCCGCGUGAGUGAAGAAGGUUUUCGGAUCGUAAAACUCUGUUGUCGGAGAAGAACAAGUAGGAGAGUAACUGUUCCUACCUUGACGGUACACGACCAGCAAGCCACUGCUAACUACGUGCCAGCAGCCGCGGUCAUACGGAGGCGGCAAACGUUUUCCGGAUUUUUUGGGCGUAAAGCGAGCGCAGGGUGUUUCUUAAGUCUGAUGUGAAAGCCCACGGGUCAACCGUGGAAGGGCAUUGGAAACUGGGGAACUUGAAUGCAGAAGAGGAGAGUGGAAUUCCAUGUGUAGCGGUGAAAUGCGUAGAUAUAUGGAGGAACACCAGUGGCGAAGGCGACUCUCUGGUCUGUUAUUGACACUGAGGCUCGAAAGCGUGGGGAGCAAACA
rnacentral:rRNA from 1 species